AGCACCAGCAACAGCAGCAGCAGCAGCAGCAGGUCUCAGCCCUCCGCACCACUCCGCUCCACAGUCCGGAGAAAGGUACUGCCUCCUCUGCCGCCACCACAAAGCCCUUUCCUCCUCCGAUAAGGGGGAAGCCAGCAGCUGCUAUUCCGGACAGUUAAGAUUAUAUAUGAUGUGUAUAUAUCGAAGGUUUGUCAGCUCUUCCAGGCCAUAAAACCCACUUAAACGACACCACGUGCUUACCACGCACCAUUCACAGGCCCUGCUUGGGGCAAUUGGCAUUUGUAACCUUGUAAACUUUAAAAUCCCCAAAAAAGAAAGACUUGAAUGCAAGCCCUCGCGUUAAGGUUUAUAGGCCCCAACAGAGCGCAGAGAAAGUGGACGCCGCAGUUGACCGGUUGAAAUAAGGGGAGAUCAUUUAGGAGGCUGUUAGUUUGAGAGAGCCGGGAAGCAGCAGGACACGAUCCACUGCGCCAACAAUGUUUCAUAAAGGGGGAAAAGCAAACAACGAGUUUAGGAGACCUUUUUUCCGAUCUGAUCAGCCGACAGGAUUACGCACACGCAGGUGCGCCCACCGGUGAGGAGUAGCAUGACAAACGCUCCGGGCAUCUGCAGGUCAGGUCAACUACACACACAGGAUGGACACCUUCAACUUCUGUGAUCUUACAUGCUCUCUCAUUAUUCACCGUUUCAGCCCACCACCACCACCAGCAGCAGCAGCA